GCGUUAGUGGUGAAAUUGGUAUACACGCUACUUUGAGGGGGUAGUGGGCGCAAGCCUGUGUGAGUUCGAGUCUCAUCUAGCGCA
rnacentral:tRNA from 1 species